GGGUUCUAUAGUAAACUUGGAACUUGAAGUUCUUCCAAGAUCUUGUGGUAUGUCCUCAUAUGUCGAGGACAAGACUUUUCUAUUCUAGUUUUAUGAUAAGGUUCUUGUAAUAGACUUAAUAGACUUCUUUUGAUUGUAAAGGGUCGUGUCCCUAGUAUGUUUUCACGUUUAUGUCUAAGAUGGCUAAGAGACUUAGUAUUCCGCUUGUGUACUUUUGAAUGAUGUUUUAAAAGUGACCUUUGAGUCUUAUGGGAUUUUAUUUAAAGAGUUUUUAAUUCCGCAC
rnacentral:lncRNA from 1 species